rnacentral:rRNA from 1 species
GAUGAACGCUGGCGGCGUGCCUAAUACAUGCAAGUCGAGCGAACAGAUGAGGAGCUUGCUCCUCUGACGUUAGCGGCGGACGGGUGAGUAACACGUGGAUAACCUACCUAUAAGACUGGGAUAACUUCGGGAAACCGGAGCUAAUACCGGAUAAUAUAUUGAACCGCAUGGUUCAAUAGUGAAAGACGGUUUUGCUGUCACUUAUAGAUGGAUCCGCGCCGCAUUAGCUAGUUGGUAAGGUAACGGCUUACCAAGGCAACGAUGCGUAGCCGACCUGAGAGGGUGAUCGGCCACACUGGAACUGAGACACGGUCCAGACUCCUACGGGAGGCAGCAGUAGGGAAUCUUCCGCAAUGGGCGAAAGCCUGACGGAGCAACGCCGCGUGAGUGAUGGAGGUCUUCGGAUCGUAAAACUCUGUUAUUAGGGAAGAACAAAUGUGUAAGUAACUAUGCACGUCUUGACGGUACCUAAUCAGAAGGCCACGGCUAACUACGUG